AAACUUGUGGAAGAGGUGAUGGCAGGGCACUGAAUAAGCAACCCAAGACAUGGCAUAAGCAGCAGGAAAAUCAGGAGACUAAUAUUUCUGGGGCACAGUAAGUGUCUGAACUAGACUCGAGGUUUAACACUGCUGUGAGUGACAGAUCUGCUGGUUUACAGGGUAUUUGCACUGAGCAGAGUAAAUGCUUCAGACCAACAAGAAGAGACUAGUCACUCUCACCGUUUAAUAUAUGCUUGCAAAGUACUGGCAGCAACGAUCCCUUGUGGCACUUCUGUAGCCAGGGUCAGAUACAUCAAAUCUGAAAGAGCUGCAGGCUCAUAUCAUUACUAUAUACAAGCAUCUCAUUGUAAACCUGCCUAGUGCCAUGUGUUGAAAAGUGCUAAUCCCAGAGCAAACUGGAUUCUGCCCAGGCAGGCCACGCACCAGUCAAGUGUUGAACCUUGCUCAGUAUAUCAAAGAGAGCUUUGAAAAGGAUUUGGUAGCUUGUGCUGUGUUUGCUGACUUGCCAACAGCAUAAAAUAUAAUGAAUCACCAGAGGCUCCUCACAAAAAUACACAAUGUGAUAAAACAUCUCCACUUACAUGCCAGAUACAAAUACUCUCACUAGGGAACUGACAAUUUUAGAUUGAACUAUAUAGAAAAUGGAGCCAGUGGUGGUGACAACAAAUGGCCUACUAUACAAAAGGGGACUACUCUUAAACACCUACAUUAAAUCCCAACCAAUUCAUUCCAGCACAAAAAAUUUUUUUUGUCAGCAAUCAAUGCAUCGCUGAGUAAACCAAGGUUCUUGCCUAGAACAAUGCCACACUAAUUAACAAUACUCUCCGGGUUCUCAGUCUAACUCAGAACCAGUUACAUAAUAACCUAAGAUACAAGUGAGUCUUUUCCAUUUCUGGAACUAUGAUGCCAACAGACAACUUGCCACCGUCAGGAAUGAGGCACCACUUGCCAGUCGCUGGAAUCCUGUCCACCUUGAGGGGAGCCUAGAUUCCAGGCUCUCCUUAAAGGCACAAGUGGAGACAACAAAAAGGCAAAGCUAGUGAUUGGAACCAGAUGGGGAGAAAGCCUGCAUAGGCUCACACAGAGAAACUGGAUCCUGUGCUGAAUGAUAGGUGUCACUGUACUGUGGGAUGUCUAAAACCAACAAGUGUUAACAAACAGUCUGUAUGUGCUUAGACAAUCGUUCCGCUAGACUUGAAGAGGGUGGUCGCAAGCAAAAUGGAAUGAUACCGACAGGCUGAAGAUACCAGACAUGGCUAAACUGCAGCCUGAAAUGACAUGAAAAACUUUUUAGUUGCAACAGAACUGCUUAAAAGAAAUCACCUACAACUAGACAACUGGAAAUAUGGGCUGCACAGCUUGAUGCACUCAACAAGGAAGUAAAAAUGCACACUGACAUCAUCAACCAUGUUCCCACAGGUGCAAAGAACUGGUCAACCUGGAGAGGUUUAAAUGGCAUGAACAUGAGUUGACAGGUCAAGAGAGAAAAAGAGGAGGUGCUACUAACAACCAUGGUACAUUUCCCUGGAAAUAUGGAAAAUAUGUGGAGUGUAGCAGGAAGCUGCAUUCAUGCUACGUGGUAACAACAAACUAGUAAGUUUACAUCUACUAAAAAAAUUCAUGAGGCAGUAUCUGUUUAAAUUAAGUUUUCAAAGCAACAGGCCUGGAUAACUCUUACCCAAGAGUCCUAAAGUAACUAGCUGAGGAGUCCUUUGGAUCACUGUUAAGCCGUUCAACAAAUUUUGGAAAACUGGGAAAAUUCUAAAGUGAGCAGUAGUGUAG